GCUCUUGUGGUCUAGCGGAAAGGUGCCUCAGAAUUCAUGGGGAAAUCCGCGGUUCGAAUCUGCGCUUGAGCU